rnacentral:rRNA from 1 species
AGUGAACGCUGGCGGUAGGCCUAACACAUGCAAGUCGAACGGCAGCACAGUAAGAGCUUGCUCUUACGGGUGGCGAGUGGCGGACGGGUGAGGAAUACAUCGGAAUCUACUUUUUCGUGGGGGAUAACGUAGGGAAACUUACGCUAAUACCGCAUACGACCUACGGGUGAAAGCAGGGGAUCUUCGGACCUUGCGCGAUUGAAUGAGCCGAUGUCGGAUUAGCUAGUUGGCGGGGUAAAGGCCCACCAAGGCGACGAUCCGUAGCUGGUCUAAGAGGAUGAUCAGCCACACUGGAACUGAGACACGGUCCAGACUCCUACGGGAGGCAGCAGUGGGGAAUAUUGGACAAUGGGCGCAAGCCUGAUCCAGCCAUACCGCGUGGGUGAAGAAGGCCUUCGGGUUGUAAAGCCCUUUUGUUGGGAAAGAAAAGCAGCAGGUUAAUACCCCGCUGUUCCGACGGUACCCAAAGAAUAAGCACCGGCUAACUUCGUG